rnacentral:rRNA from 1 species
GAAAGUAAGCAAGGGCAGACGGUGGAUGCCUUGGCUCUCGGAGGCGACGAAGGACGUGAUAAGCUGCGAAAAGCCCGGGGGAGGCGCAAAUAGCCCUUGAUCCCGGGAUAUCCGAAUGGGGCAACCCGGCAGGCUGAAGGCCUGUCAUCCCGUAAGGGAGGCGAACGUGGGGAACUGAAACAUCUAAGUACCCAUAGGAGGAGAAAAUAAACAAUGAUUCCGUAAGUAGUGGCGAGCGAACACGGAAGAGCCCAAACCCAUGUCGUCUAGGCGACACGGGGGUUGUAGGACCACGACGUGGCAAGAGGAUGGCAAGUGGAACGCCUUGGAAAGGGCGACCGUAGAGGGUGAUAGUCCCGUACACGACUGCCUGCCGAAGCCUAGUGGCAUCCUGAGUAGCGCGGGGCACGAGAAAUCUUGCGUGAAACAGCGGGGCCCAUCCCGUAAGGCUAAAUACUCCCGAGAGACCGAUAGCGAACCAGUACCGUGAGGGAAAGGUGAAAAGAACCCCGAGCAGGGGAGUGAAAUAGACCCUGAACCCGUCUGCCUACAAGCGGUCGGAGCAUAGCAAUAUGUGACGGCGUGCCUUUUGCAUAAUGAACCUACGAGUUACCUUCCCCGGCAAGGUUAAGUACCUAAGGUACGGAGCCGAAGCGAAAGCGAGUCUGAAGAGGGCGGCCAGUCGGGGGGGGUAGACGCGAAACCGAGUGAUCUACCCUUGGCCAGGUUGAAGGUUGGGUAACACCAACUGGAGGACCGGAUGGGUAAGCGUUGAAAAGCUUUCCAAUGAGCUGAGGGUAGGGGUGAAAGGCUAAUCAAACUCGGAGAUAGCUCGUACUCCCCGAAAUGCAUUUAGGUGCAGCCUCUUUAUAGUAUAUCGUGAGGUAGAGCGACUGAUUGGAUGCGAGGGCUUCACCGCCUAUCAAGUCCAGAUAAACUCCGAAUGCGCGAUAUAUAUUUACAGGGAGUGAGGGCGCGGGUGCUAAGGUCCGUGUCCGAGAGGAGAAGAAUCCAGACCACCGGCUAAGGCCCCCAAAUGAUCGUUGAGUUGAACUAACGAGGUCGGAUCGCAGAGACAGCUAGGAUGUUGGCUUGGAAGCAGCCAUUCAUUUAAAGAGUGCGUAACAGCUCACUAGUCGAGCGAUCUGGCGUGGAUAAUAAUCGGGCAUAAACGAUCUGCCGAAGCCGUGGAUGUCGCAAGACAUGGUAGGGGAGCAUUCCAUGCGGCGUCGAAGAUGAGGGAUGACCCUUGUUGGAGCGCAUGGAAAAGCAAAUGUAGGUAUGAGUAACGAUAAGGGGGGCGAGAAACCCCCCCGCCGAAAGACCAAGGUUUCCUGAUCAACGCUAAUCGGAUCAGGGUGAGUCGGGACCUAAGGCAAAGCCGAACGGCGCCGCCGAUGGAAGAAUGGGUUAAUAUUCCCAUACUGCCUCAUGGAGUGACGUGGAGACGGAGAAGUGACAGUCCUGCCGGCUGACGGAAUAGCCGGUUGAAGGGUGUAGAUAUUGAUUCCCGUAGGCAAAUCCGCGGGGAGAGUCGAACCUGACAGUAUACCGAGUACUUGUACGAGGUAAUAUGGACGUAACCAUGCUCCCAAGAAAAUCCGCUAAACUUAUCCAUGCGGCACCCGUACCGUAAACGGACACACGUGGUCGGGUUGAGAAUACUGAGGCGCUCGAGUGACUCACGGUUAAGGAACUAGGCAAAUUGACCCUGUAACUUCGGGAUAAAGGGUCCUCGUCGUAAGGCGAGGCGCAGAGAAUAGGUCCAGGCAACUGUUUAACAAAAACACAUGGCUAUGCUAAAUGGAAACAUGACGUAUAUAGCCUGACACCUGCCCGGUGCUGGAAGGUUAAGAGGAGAUGUCAUCGCAAGAGAAGCGUUGAAUUGAAGCCCCAGUAAACGGCGGCCGUAACUAUAACGGUCCUAAGGUAGCGAAAUUCCUUGUCG